GGUCGGGUGGCGCAAUGGUAGCGCGUUACUUUCCGGUGAUGAGAAAGUCAAAUUUCCAAUACAACGCUCAGUUGGUAAAGGUUCUGGGUUCGAGUCCCAGCUCGAUCG